rnacentral:tRNA from 1 species
GCCCAGCUGGCUCAGUCAGUAGAGCGUGCGACUCUUGAUCUCAGGGGUUGUGAGUUCAAGCCCCAUGUGGGGCG